rnacentral:rRNA from 1 species
GCCUGCUGUAAAUAAACUACCGUCGCCAGGGCACUACGAACACUCGUUUAAAACCCAAAGAACUUGAUGGUACCCUAAACCCACCUAGAGGAGCCUGUUCUAUAAUCCGAUACCCCACGUUUUACCCCACCGCCUCUUGCCCCCCAGUCUAUAUACCGCCGUCGCCAGCCAACCUUACAAAAGAAUCACCGUAGGCAGGAACGCUUCUAUGCAAACACGUCAGGUCGAGGUGCAGCCAAUGAGGUCGGCAGAAAUGGGCUACACUCUCUUCCCAGAGAAUACGAAUAACUUAAUGAAAUCUUAUAUUUGAAGGUGGAUCUAGCAGUAAAUGAAAACAGUCUAUUUCAUUGAAGUUGGCUUCUAGGAUGCGU